GAUGAACGCUAGCGGCAGGCCUAAUACAUGCAAGUCGAACGGAUAUAUGUUUUUCGGAAUAUAUAUUAGUGGCGCACGGGUGAGUAACACGUACAUAACUUGCCCUCAAGCGGGGGAUAGCCUUGGGAAACUGAGAGUAAUACCCCAUAGAAUUAUUGGACGGCAUCGUUUGAUAAUUAAAACUACGGUGUUUGGGGAUAGAUGUGCGUCUGAUUAGCUAGUUGGUGAGGUAACUGCUCACCAAGGCGACGAUCAGUAGGGGGGCGUGAGAGCGUGGCCCCCCCACACGGGUACUGAGACACGGACCCGACUCCUACGGGAGGCAGCAGUAAGGGAAUAUUGGGUCAAUGGAGGGAACUCUGAACCAGCCAUGCCGCGUGAAGGAUGACGGCCCUCUGGGUUGUAAACUUCUUUGGAGUGGGGACGAAAAAACGGGUAUUUAUCCUGGACUGACGGUACCAUCAGAAUAAGCACCGGCUAACUCCGUGCCAGCAGCCGGUACGGUAAAGUAGUCGUG
rnacentral:rRNA from 1 species